AUUGAACGCUGGCGGCAGGCCUAACACAUGCAAGUCGAGCGAGCGGCGGACGGGUGAGUAAUGUCUGGGAAACUGCCUGAUGGAGGGGGAUAACUACUGGAAACGGUAGCUAAUACCGCAUACCAUCAGAUGUGCCCAGGUGGGAUUAGCUAGUAGGUGGGGUAACGGCUAACCUAGGCGACGAUCCCUAGCUGGUCUGAGAGGAUGACCAGCCACACUGGAACUGAGACACGGGCAAGACUCCUACGGGAGGCAGCAGGGGGGAAGAGUGCAAAAGGGGCGCAAGCCGGAUGCAGCCAGGCCGCGUGUGUGAAGAAGGCCUGCGGGUUGUAAAGCACUUUCAGCGGGGAGGCGUGACCCGCAGAAGAAGCACCGGCUAACUCCGUGCCAGCAGCCGCGGUAAUUC
rnacentral:rRNA from 1 species